rnacentral:rRNA from 1 species
UACGUAGGGGGCAAGCGUUGUCCGGAUUUAUUGGGCGUAAAGCGCACGUAGGCGGCCUGUUAAGUCGGAUGUGAAAGCCCCGGGCUCAACCCGGGAAGUGCAUUCGAAACUGGCGGGCUUGAAUAUGGAAGAGGGUCGCGGAAUUCCCGGUGUAGAGGUGAAAUUCGUAGAUAUCGGGAGGAACACCAGUGGCGAAGGCGGCGACCUGGGCCAAUAUUGACGCUGAGGUGCGAAAGCGUGGGGAGCAAACAGG